rnacentral:rRNA from 1 species
AGCGAACGCUGGCGGCAGGCCUAACACAUGCCAGUCGAACGAACUCUUCGGAGUUAGUGGCGGACGGGUGAGUACCACGUGGGAACGUGCCUUUUGGUUCGGAAUAACUCAGGGAAACUUGUGCUAAUACCGAAUGUGCCCUUCGGGGGAAAGAUUUAUCGCCAUUGGAGCGGCCCGCGUCUGAUUAGCUAGUUGGUGAGGUAACGGCUCACCAAGGCGACGAUCAGUAGCUGGUCUGAGAGGAUGACCAGCCACACUGGGACUGAGACACGGCCCAGACUCCUACGGGAGGCAGCAGUGGGGAAUCUUGCGCAAUGGGCGAAAGCCUGACGCAGCCAUGCCGCGGGAAUGAUGAAGGUCUUAGGAUUGUAAAAUUCUUUCACCGGGGACGACAAUGACGGUACCCGGAGAAGAAGCCCCGGCUAACUUCGUG